CUUCAUCUAAAGUACAAUAAAAAAAAUUUUAAAAAAAGGUCAGAAGGAUGGGACUCUGUCAUUAAAUCAGAGUGUGUAUUUUAGUACUGUUUGUAGACUGUUUCACAAGGCUUUAGGUUACCUUAGCAACAAAACCAAGGCCACAGUUAGUCAUCACUUUCCAGUUAUUCUUAUUGGCCAUCCUUCUUCCUCCAAGGAAGAUGCCCAAGUACAGUUCAGCCCGUGUUUUUAUCCAAACACUUCAACGCACUCUUGUCCCAUUUUCAAGUUAAUCAAGUUCUUAGAGUAAUUCUUGAACAUCACCACCAAUGUGCUCACACUUACUCUGUGUCCUUCUAGCUCCCCAGGACGACACAUUAAAGAUGUUCUCCAGCGACAAGGCAGAUGAUGCCCCAUCUAAUGCCAAGGUGGCCUCAAGAGCAAGUCAAAAUGAUUGGGGUGCAGACAGGAGGUAUGACUCUAGCAGUGACAAAGAAGACACUCAAGGUAGGUUCCAAUGGGAGACGGUUACUGGGAGCACUCUGGUUACUCCUGCUGCUUCAGAAACUGAAGGAAGAGGGAGGGGUGAAGUCAAAGAAAAAGGAAAUAUGAGUGGAGGUCUCUUUUGCUCUUUUCAUAUUUUAUUUACAUAAUAGUAAGACAAGUUAUAUCCAUGGGCUUUGAGUGUGAAAUGUUUGAAAUCAUCUUUUCCUGCUUUGCUAUUUCAAGAUUAUCAUUCCCACAAGACCUGCCAUCACUGCCACUCCCAGACAUCAAAGCCUGAGAUUUGCUGGU